rnacentral:rRNA from 1 species
AUUGAACGCUGGCGGCAUGCUUUACACAUGCAAGUCGAACGGUAACAGGCCGCAAGGUGCUGACGAGUGGCGAACGGGUGAGUAAUGCAUCGGAACGUGCCCAGUCGUGGGGGAUAACGCAGCGAAAGCUGCGCUAAUACCGCAUACGAUCUCUGGAUGAAAGCGGGGGACCGAAGGGCCUCGCGCGAUUGGAGCGGCCGAUGUCAGAUUAGGUAGUUGGUGGGGUAAAGGCUCACCAAGCCAACGAUCUGUAGCUGGUCUGAGAGGACGACCAGCCACACUGGGACUGAGACACGGCCCAGACUCCUACGGGAGGCAGCAGUGGGGAAUUUUGGACAAUGGGCGCAAGCCUGAUCCAGCAAUGCCGCGUGCAGGAAGAAGGCCUUCGGGUUGUAAACUGCUUUUGUACGGAACGAAACGGUCCUGGUUAAUACCUGGGGCUAAUGACGGUACCGUAAGAAUAAGCACCGGCUAACUACGUGCCAGCAGCCGCCGUAA